rnacentral:lncRNA from 1 species
AGUAACUGGCAUUUGGUUAUGGGGUGGCUGUUUUUCUACGUGGACCAAGCAGGGUCCCAGUUCAAGUUUCUGCUGCCUAUCUGAUAAUCUUGAGGUAUUUAUGAAGGACUCCUUUGAAAGUUCUCUACUGAGUUUCCUUAAGGAAUUGGAAUAUUUUCUACAGGAAUUAGGAGUGUGACUUCAGGAAUGGCUUAUUCCAAGUUGUAAAACUAUCCCCUGUCGUGAAGAGUUUCUCUCUUGACACCUAGGCUGGAAUGCAAUGGCGCAAUCUCAGCUGACUGCAACCUCCACCUCCGAGGUUCAAGCAAUUCUCCUGCCUCAGCCUCCUGAGUAACUGGGAUUACAGGCGCCCGCCACCACACCUGGCUAAUUUUUGUAUUUUUAGUGGAGAUGGGGUUUCACCAAGUUGGCCAGGCUGGUCUCAAACUCCUGAGCUCAAGUGAUCCACCCGCCUAGGCUUCCCAAAGUGCUGGAACUAUAAGCGAGACCAAUUUGUUGAAUUGGACAGCUGGAAGCAAGGAAGGGAAAAAGUAUUUCACCGAAAAGGCAGAAGACUGGCAUCAAUUGCAAGCUGUGGAAUCAAGACAACUUUGGCUGAGUCCCAUUUUAUAUAGGACUAAAGGAGAGUGCAGUCCUCAAAGGCAAUAAUAUUUAUGAGAACAAAGAAGACUGUGGAGAAAUUUUAGGCAGUAGAAGAGAGCAGAAAGGCCAAGAGGAUCAGGGUU